CCUGAAAGCAAUGACAGAGUGAAAAGAGAAAAAUGAGCGUAAGCUGCAGCUGUCUUCAACCCGGGGGCCGUCUCCUCAGCUGCUUACAAACACUGCUCCCCACACCCACGGCAGAGGUCAGACUUCACCGGGUGAAGAGGAGACCUCCCUCCGCGACUCUCUGAGAACUCGGCCUGCUGUGAUGGCGGGCAGAGAAACACCUGGAUGGCUCACUUCUUUUUAGUGCUGAAGAAUACGCCAUCCUCUGGAGGUUCCACAGUUCAUUUUCCACUCACCGCCUAGGAAGCAUCUGGGUUGCUUGCAAGUGUUGGCAAUUACUUUUCUUGACAGGUUUUCUACCAUCUCCCUCCCUUUCCUUUCUCGCUGCCAUCACCAUUAGUUGAUGUCGCCCUGACUCGCGGUUUGCACUUUUAUCAUUGACCUCCCAACCAACUUCUAGAACCUCCAUCUCUUUUUCAUUCAGUUUGCCAGAUUCAUUUUUCUACACUACAGCUCUGAUUAUGUCCUUACCUCACUCCGACAUUUCUAGUGACACCCAAAUCUUCCCGAGUCUGAAUUUCUCUCACUUGAGACAUUCAAAGUCCCUUACUAUAUAGCUUUGCAUUACCUCUCUCUUCUGUCAUUUAACUCUUUCUGCUUUUUACCCGUCUUGUCCAGUGCGGCUACUUAAAAUCUUCCAAACUUUUCAAGGGGAGGAAUGUUUUUUUAUGUUCUGUUGCAUGUGAGAAUGCUUUGAACGGAGUAAACGGUCCAGAAAAACCUGGAGCGUUAUACUGACUCUGUUCAAGAGGCCAUCUAAGCCAAAUCUGUAUCAUGCACCAGGAUGAAACACUACAGAGAGCCGCACCAGGAUACCUGGAACCCCCAAUGCCUUUUUACAUGCACAGCAACAACGUGAUACUGUUCACUUUCCUGCUUUCUGAGGGCCAACCCCUCAACCCUCCCCAUCGCCACCUCUCCACCCAGCUCCUGGGCUUUCUUCCCAUUCCAGCCAGAGACAGAAAGCUCAAAGGGUAGGAAGGCUGAGAUGAGAAUGGGGAAGAUGAGAAAUGGUGAUGGCACAAUACCACGUGAACUGCAGUGACAAAGUGACGUUUUGUUCUGGCAUUCUCUAUACAUGUUCAAGAACAAAAUUCACCAGA